rnacentral:piRNA from 1 species
UUGAAGAGAGCCCUGAAUGACUAGAGUUUC